rnacentral:rRNA from 1 species
GAUGAACGCUCGCUAUAGGCUUAACACAUGCAAGUCGAGGGGAAACGGCAUUAUGUGCUUGCACAUUUUGGACGUCGACCGGCGCACGGGUGAGUAUCGCGUAUCCAACCUGCCCUUUACUUGGGGAUACCCCGUUGAAAGACGGCCUAAUACCCGAUGUAAUUCAUUGAUGGCAUCAGAUAUGAAUAAAAGAUUUAUCGGUAAAGGAUGGGGAUGCGUCUGAUUAGCUUGUUGGUGAGGUAACGGCUCACCAAGGCGACGAUCAGUAGGGGUUCUGAGAGGAAGGUCCCCCACAUUGGAACUGAGACACGGUCCAAACUCCUACGGGAGGCAGCAGUGAGGAAUAGUGGUCAAUGGGCGCAAGCCUGAACCAGCCAAGUAGCGUGCAGGAAGACGGCCCUAUGGGUUGUAAACUGCUUUUAUACGAGAAUAAUUUGAUGCACGUGUGCGUUAUUGCAUGUAUCGUAUGAAUAAGGACCGGCUAAUUCCGUG